rnacentral:rRNA from 1 species
CCUACGGGUGGCUGCAGUGGGGAAUUUUGGACAAUGGGCGCAAGCCUGAUCCAGCAAUGCCGCGUGCAGGAUGAAGGCCUUCGGGUUGUAAACUGCUUUUGUACGGAACGAAACGGUCUCUCAUAAUACGGGGGGCUAAUGACGGUACCGUAAGAAUAAGCACCGGCUAACUACGUGCCAGCAGCCGCGGUAAUACGUAGGGUGCAAGCGUUAAUCGGAAUUACUGGGCGUAAAGCGUGCGCAGGCGGUUAUAUAAGACAGAUGUGAAAUCCCCGGGCUCAACCUGGGACCUGCAUUUGUGACUGUAUAGCUAGAGUACGGUAGAGGGGGAUGGAAUUCCGCGUGUAGCAGUGAAAUGCGUAGAUAUGCGGAGGAACACCGAUGGCGAAGGCAAUCCCCUGGACCUGUACUGACGCUCAUGCACGAAAGCGUGGGGAGCAAACAGGAUUAGAUACCCAAGUAGUC